GCGAGCCACGCUUCACGCAACCGUGUUUGCGUACUUGUGUUUCGAGUUGCGUGGUCGUGCGGAGCUAUAUUUACCAAAUUAAUCGUUUCUACUGAUUCAUAAUAAUUAAAUCAAUAUGUCAAUAUGGCUACUGGGUGUAAAAGAUAAAUUUAUUCUAUCUGUUCUUAAUGAGUUUUAGAUAAUUUUAGUUGUAUUUCUUUGUAAUUUUGUGUUGUACAAAGAUUAAUUUAACAUUUUCUCUGGAAGUAUUAAUUUAGAAAGAUAAUAUUAUGCUUCAUUGGUGUUGUGUUUUGAAGUGUGAAAUGCAAAGUAUGUAAUUGUGAUAAAGUCAAGAUAAAGUUCACUUUUAAACUGAACUAAAGAAGGUAUCUGAGAGACAACAAUGGUUAAAUGCAAUACAAUGUACAGGUUUUGCUAGCGAAAUGAAAAUUUUCCUGUCCUGUCUGCUGUAAUCAUUUUAUAUCUGGAAAACCAGCCGACUUAAUCGAUAAUAUCAAUCUCCAGAUUGGGUUCCUUCAAUAAAUAUGGGCUAUAAACACAAUGAAAUAAGUUCCCCAAAAUCUAAAAUGGAGUGGUAUCAAAGGAGAAUUAAAGGGAAAAAUAUUCAUAUUAAAAUUAUUUAUAAGGCACUGGACUGUCUUAAAUUCUACAAUAAUACUAGAAUCAGCUGAGAGAAGUGGUCUACAAAAAACCAGGAAGGAAACGGAAUAUGUGGCUACGAAAGGCAAAAGAAAGGUUUACAAAGCAAAUGUGACACAUUUUUUUGAAAUAUUUAGGAAUAUCAGUAAAUUGCAUUAAAAAAAUGUAUGAAAAGAUUUUGUUCAAUAAAAAUGUUUAUAAGUA